GAGAAAACUGCAGUGCAAAACUCAGCCAGAAGCUAGCAAGUGUCAAGUGAAUCCACAGCAUCACCACAAACUUAUUUUCAAACCAGAGUGGAGAGGAGGAAGACUGGAUAGGAAGAGUGAAAGAGAUAGAGGAGGAAAGAUUGGAGAGGAAGGAGAAGAAUGAGGAAGAUGAGUGAAGAAGAGGAGAAAGAUUGGAGGAGAAGAAAAAGUUAAGAGACUAAGAAGAGUGACGAAGAGCAGAGUGGAAACGGAAAUGCCAUUUUAAUGACAACAUGAGAGAAUUUCCAUUUAUACGCUCAGGUCAAGACGAUUGAAUGGUUCACGGCACCCUUUGUAAUUCCUAUUUUUCAAUUGGCAGCAGGGGGAAGAACGGCAGUGGUAGAACAUCAACAGACAAAAAAGCAUAAAGCCUCUGAUUGCCCGUGUUGGUAUGCCCUCUGUCACCACAUUCUUCAAGAAGGUAGAGCCUUUCCAAGAAGAAUAUGAUUUAGCUGUGCAGGAGGGUCUUUGCAUACCACACUAUGCAACACAAUCAUAGUUACAGAUCUAUGGACUGCACAGCACAACUGACACAGAAGCUUUAUGAGCCAAAGCUUACAUGUCCUAGGACAAAAUGUGACACCAUAGUGAGUAAUGUGUUAGCACCAUGGGUAACUACUUUGGUAACACAGGACCUAGACCAGGUUGAAUGUGUCCCUGUCCAUUGAUGCGUCCAAUCAUGGACAUGUAAAGCUGCUGCCAAUAGUAGUCAGAUAUUGUAAGAUAUAAUGGCAGCAUCUGUGGAAACAAAACUGCUUGAUUUUGUUGAAUUGAAAGGAGAAACAGCAGAGGAAAUUGCAGCUGAGGUCCUGGGGGUCAUCCAAAAUUUUUACCUGGAAAACAAAGUCGUGGCAUUCUCUACCGACAACACAAAUACCAACUUUGGAGGACUGAAUAGGCUGGGGAGGGUCAAUGUCCAUACUAAAGUUAAAAAUGCUCUGCAGCGGGAGGUGAUUGGCUUAGGUUGUCCUGCCCACAUCAUUAAUAAGAUGGCCAGAACAGCCUUGGAUAUGAUUCCCCUUGAUGUUGAGUACCUGCUUACAAAGAUAUUUGGAUAUUUUCACCGUCAGAGUAGAAAGACUGAAGAGCUUUUGUGAGUUUGUUGGCCAGGAGUAUCAUAACAUUUCAGGACACAGCAAUGUUCUCUGGCUGUCCAUGCUCCCUGCUCUAGAAAGAGUGCUGAAAAUGUGCCAUUGAAAUCCUUUUUUCUUUCACCUUCAAAUGCUCUGUUGUCCUGCGAACAAUGUUCGAAGAUCCACUGACUGAACUUUGGCUGGCCUUUGUCCAUGGAAACCGGACUGUAUUCUGUGACACGAUCAAGAUGCUUGAAGGCCAGGACCGCUGUGCUGUGGAGUCAGCUGCAAUUCUGUGAAACGUUGAGGCAAAAUUGACUGCAAGACGUGAUGACAACUUCAUUCCAGUUUUGGUCAGAGGACUUCUGAGAGAGCAAUGUUUAAAGAGAGCUUUCUCAAAACAUCCCAAUCAUUCUUUACUACGGCUGUGAACUACUUGCAAGAAUGGGGAAAGCACACAGAUAAUCUAAAAGAUUUCCAUUGCAUUUUUAAAAUGAGACAAGCUCAGCGUGAAGAGAUCCAGAAGGCAGUAGCCACACUGCAGGAAAUAUUCCCCAAUGUGACCAUCAAUGAGGAUGCAUUGUUUGACGAGGUUACUGGCCUGCAAGAAAUCCUAAAGGGGGGAUCGCUUGAAGAAUGGAAAACAUCUGAGACACCGCUUUGUCAGAGAUUGAGCACGGUGGUUACCCACUUCAAAGAGAAUGACAUCCCACACACUAACCUGGCUAGAUUAGCUUCUGUUGUCAUGUGCUUACCUGGAAGUAAUGCACCAGUCGAGAGAGUGUUCUCCCAAAUGAAGGAUAAAUGGACAUCAAAAAGAAAUAGGUUCACUGUUCCUACCAUUAAUGCUUACUGUGAAGACAAACUUCAACCUCCCCUGCCAGGAGUUCAUGGCCAAAGACAGAGCAAUCCUGAAGAAAAUACAUUCUUCUGAAGAAAUAUACAGAUUAGGUUGGUAUACAGUGGAUUUGAGUCCCUGGCAGCGUAGCGUGUUACUGAUGGUAGGCUUUGUUACUUUGGUCCCAGCUCUCUGCAGGUCAUUUCAAGGUCCUGGAGUGGCCUAGCCAGUCUCCAGAUCUCAACCCCAUAGAAGAUCUUUGGAGGCAGUUGAAAGUCCGUGUUGCCCAGCAACAGCCCCAAAACAUCACUGCUCUAGAGGAGAUCUGCAUGGAGGAAUGGGCCAAAAUACCAGCAACAGUCUGUGGAUACCUUGUGAAGACUUACAGAAAACGUUUGACCUCUGUCACUGCCAACAAAGGGUAUAACCGUAUUGAGUAUUGAGAUAAACUUUUGUUUAUUGACCAAAUACUUAUUUUCCACCAUAAUUU